AUUGAACGCUGGCGGAAUGCUUUACACAUGCAAGUCGAGCGGCAGCGCGGGGGCAACCCUGGCGGCGAGCGGCGAACGGGUGAGUAAUGUAUCGGAACGUACCCAGUCGUGGGGGAUAACUAUCCGAAAGGAUAGCUAAUACCGCAUACGACCUGAGGGUGAAAGCGGGGGACCGUAAGGCCUCGCGCGAUUGGAGCGGCCGAUAUCGGAUUAGCUAGUUGGUGAGGUAAAGGCUCACCAAGGCGACGAUCCGUAGCUGGUCUGAGAGGACGACCAGCCACACUGGAACUGAGACACGGUCCAGACUCCUACGGGAGGCAGCAGUGGGGAAUUUUGGACAAUGGGGGGCAACCCUGAUCCAGCCAUUCCGCGUGAGUGAAGAAGGCCUUCGGUUGUAAAGCUCUUUCUAGCAGGAACGAAACGGACUCUCUCUAACAUAGGGAGUUAAUGACGGUACCUGAAGAAGAAGCACCGGCUAACUACGUGCCA
rnacentral:rRNA from 1 species